GUGAAUUCAUGAUGCAGGUGCUACCCCCCUGUGGACACGCAGUGCUAGAAGACAAACCGGAAAAAGUGGCAGACGCCGUGGCCUCCUUCCUGUUGAGACACAAGUUGGCUGAAGCCAGAAGAGAAACCAGGAGCGUCGACUCCUUCACACAAUGAGCUCUGGAGGUUCCUCUCAGCCAACAGAUCAACAUUUUCCAUCUUCAUCUUUUAUCAGAAGCUGCAGAAGUUUCUAGUUAAGACUGAAUGUCUGUCUUUUGACUUCCUGUUGUUGUUGUUGUUUAGUUCCUGACCAAACAUGAUUAAAUACUGAAGUUAACCUUAUAUGGCUUUUAUAAUAAUUCAAUAUACUCAUCAUUGGUUCCUCCUGUAAACAAGUUAACACUAGUCAUAAAUGAGUUGUUUUCGUAGACGAGCACGUUAGUUUGUUGGAUUAAUUAACAGCUUUCUUUCGUUAAAAUGGGCUUUCUAGUUUUGCAGGAUUAUUAAGAACAGCCAUUUUAGAGACAUGAGAGUAGCAUAGAAAACAAGAUCAUUAAUGUUGACAAGUACCUGUAUGGGAAUGUAUAGAUCGAUGUGUUCAGUAUUAAACUGUGAUUUAACAA